rnacentral:rRNA from 1 species
GAUGAACGCUGGCGGCGUGCCUAAUACAUGCAAGUCGAGCGAACGGACGAGAAGCUUGCUUUUCUGAUGUUAGCGGCGGACGGGUGAGUAACACGUGGAUAACCUACCUAUAAGACUGGGAUAACUUCGGGAAACCGGAGCUAAUACCGGAUAAUAUUUUGAACCGCAUGGUUCAAAAGUGAAAGACGGUCUUGCUGUCACUUAUAGAUGGAUCCGCGCUGCAUUAGCUAGUUGGUAAGGUAACGGCUUACCAAGGCAACGAUGCAUAGCCGACCUGAGAGGGUGUGGGGCAAACCGAGAGCGGAGACAGGGCCCGGACUCCUAGGGGGGGGAGCAGGGGGGAUUCUCCGGCAGAGGGCGAAGUCUGGAGGGAGCACCGCGGCGGGGUGGAGAAGGGUUUUGGAAUGGAAAACCUUUGUUAUAGGGAAAAAAAAUAUGUGAAAGGAACUGGGCCUACGUGGAGGGUCCCUAAUAAGAAAGCCCCGGCAAACUACGUG